ACCCCUACGGGGGGCAGCAGUGAGGAAUAUUGGUCAAUGGGAGAGAUCCUGAACCAGCCAAGCCGCGUGAGGGAAGACGGCCCUAUGGGUUGUAAACCUCUUUUGUCGGAGAACAAAACCCGGGACGUGUCCCGGACUGCGUGUAUCCGAAGAAAAAGCAUCGGCUAACUCCGUGCCAGCAGCCGCGGUAAUACGGAGGAUGCGAGCGUUAUCCGGAUUUAUUGGGUUUCAAGGGUGCGUAGGCGGUCUGGUAAGUAAGCGUGAAAAUUGCGGGGCUCAA
rnacentral:rRNA from 1 species